GAUGAACGCUAGCGACAGGCCUAACACAUGCAAGUCGAGGGGUAACAGAUGAAGAGCUUGCUCAGAUGCUGACGACCGGCGCACGGGUGAGUAACACGUAUGCAACCUACCUUUUACAGAGGGAUAGCCCAGAGAAAUUUGGAUUAAUACCUCAUAAUGUCCCGGUUUAUAAUGAAUUGGGACCAAAGAGGGGGACCUUAGGGCCUCUCGCGUCAAGAUUAGCCCAGGUGGGGUUAGCUAGUUGGUGGGGUAAUGGCUCACCAAGGCGACGAUCCCUAGCUGGUUUGAGAGGAUGAUCAGCCACACUGGAACUGAGACACGGUCCAG
rnacentral:rRNA from 1 species